GCCAGUGUGGUAUAGUGUUUGAUGCUGAGACUAGGACUCUGACAGGCUAGGGUUCAAAUCCUUGCUCUGUCA